rnacentral:rRNA from 1 species
GAUGAACGCUGGCGGCGUGCUUAACACAUGCAAGUCGAACGCUGAAGCUCCCAGCUUGCUGGGGGUGGAUGAGUGGCGAACGGGUGAGUAUCACGUGAGUAACCUGCCCUUAACUCUGGGAUAAGCCCGGGAAACUGGGUCUAAUACUGGAUAGGACUGAUCAUCGCAUGGUGGUUGGUUGAAAGUUUUUGACGGUUUUGGAUGGACUCGCGGCCUAUCAGUUUGUUAGUGGGGUAAUGGCCUACCAAGGCUUUGACGGGUAGCCGGCCUGAGAGGGUGACCGGCCACACUGGGACUGAGACACGGCCCAGACUCCUACGGGAGGCAGCAGUGGGGGAUCUUGCACAAUGGGCGGAAGCCUGAUGCAGCGACGCCGCGUGAGGGAUGACGGCCUUCGGGUUGUAAACCUCUUUCAGUUGGGACGAAGCCCUUCGGGGUGACGG